rnacentral:rRNA from 1 species
UACGUAAGAGACUAGUGUUAAUCAUCAUAAAUAGGUUUAAAGGGUACUCAGACGGAAAAUAUUCGCCUAAAAAAGGGACAUUUUUUCUAGAGUUUUAUGUAAGAAGAUCGUACUCUAGAGUGUAGAGAUCAUAUUUGUUGAUACCUAGGGGACUGGUAAAGGCGAAGGCAAUCUUUUAUGUAAAAACUGACGUCGAAGGACGAAGGCAAAGGGCACGAACAGG